ensembl:misc_RNA Y_RNA Y RNA
AGCUCAUCUGAAAGGUAGAGAGUUAUCUCAAUUGAUUGUUCACAGUCAGUUACAGACUGAACUCUGUUCUACUCUUUCUCCCCUUCUCACUAUUACACUUGACUAGUUUUAA